rnacentral:rRNA from 1 species
AUUGAACGCUGGCGGCAGGCCUAACACAUGCAAGUCGAGCGGUUGAGGUAGCUUGCUACCGAUGCAGCGGCGAACGGGUGAGUAAUACAUGGGAAUCUGCCUGGUAGUGGGGGACAACGUUUCGAAAGGAACGCUAAUACCGCAUACGCCCUACGGGGGAAAGGGGGGGAUCGCAAGACCUCUCGCUAUCAGAUGAGCCCAUGUCAGAUUAGCUAGUUGGUAGGGUAAAGGCCUACCAAGGCGACGAUCUGUAACUGGUCUGAGAGGAUGAUCAGUCACACUGGAACUGAGACACGGUCCAGACUCCUACGGGAGGCAGCAGUGGGGAAUAUUGGACAAUGGGGGCAACCCUGAUCCAGCCAUGCCGCGUGUGUGAAGAAGGCCUUAGGGUUGUAAAGCACUUUCAGUGGGGAGAAAAGUGAUUCACCUAAUACGUGAGUCAAUUGAUGUUACCCACAGAAGAAGCACCGGCUAACUCCGUGCCAGCCGCCGCAGUAAUAC